rnacentral:rRNA from 1 species
GACGAACGCUGGCGGCGUGCUUAACACAUGCAAGUCGAACGGAAAGGCCCUGCUUUUGUGGGGUGCUCGAGUGGCGAACGGGUGAGUAACACGUGAGUAACCUGCCCUUGUCUUUGGGAUAACUUCAGGAAACUGGGGCUAAUACCGGAUAGGAGCUCCUGCUGCAUGGUGGGGGUUGGAAAGUUUCGGCGGUUGGGGAUGGACUCGCGGCUUAUCAGCUUGUUGGUGGGGUAGUGGCUUACCAAGGCUUUGACGGGUAGCCGGCCUGAGAGGGUGACCGGCCACAUUGGGACUGAGAUACGGCCCAGACUCCUACGGGAGGCAGCGGUGGAGAAUAUUGCACAAUGGGCGGGAGCCAGAUGCAGCAACGCCGCGUGCGGGAUGACGGCCUUCUGGUUGUAAACCGCUUUCGCCUGUGACGAGGCGUGAGUGACGGUAAUGGGUAAAGAAGCACCGGCUAACUACGUG